rnacentral:snRNA from 1 species
AUGCUCGCUUCGGCAGCACAUAUACUAAAAUUGGAACAAUACAGAGAAGACUAGC